GAUGAACGCUGGCGGCGUGCCUAAUACAUGCAAGUCGAGCGAACGGACGAGAAGCUUGCUUCUCUGAUGUUAGCGGCGGACGGGUGAGUAACACGUGGAUAACCUACCUAUAAGACUGGGAUAACUUCGGGAAACCGGAGCUAAUACCGGAUAAUAUUUUGAACCGCAUGGUUCAAAAGUGAAAGACGGUCUUGCUGUCACUUAUAGAUGGAUCCGCGCUGCAUUAGCUAGUUGGUAAGGUAACGGCUUACCAAGGCAACGAUGCAUAGCCGACCUGAGAGGGGGAGGGGCAAGACUGGAACGGAGACACGGACCGGAGUCCGGAGGGAGGCAGCAGUAGGGAAGCAUCGGCAAUGGGCGAAAGCCUGACGGAGAAAGGCAGCGGGAGUGAGGAAGGUAUUAGGAACGUAAAAAUCGGUUAUUAGGGAAGAACAUAUGUGUAAGUAAAAGUGAACAGCUGGACGGGACCUAAUCAGAAAGCCACGGCUAAAUACGUG
rnacentral:rRNA from 1 species